GAUGAACGCUGACAGAAUGCUUAACACAUGCAAGUCAACUUGAAUUUGGGUUUUUAACUUAGGUUUGGGUGGCGGACGGGUGAGUAACGCGUAAAGAACUUGCCUCACAGCUAGGGACAACAUUUGGAAACGAAUGCUAAUACCUAAUAUUAUGAUAAUAGGGCAUCCUAUAAUUAUGAAAGCUAUAAGCGCUGUGAGAGAGCUUUGCGUCCCAUUAGCUAGUUGGAGAGGUAACGGCUCACCAAGGCGAUGAUGGGUAGCCGGCCUGAGAGGGUGAUCGGCCACAAGGGGACUGAGACACGGCCCUUACUCCUACGGGAGGCAGCAGUGGGGAAUAUUGGACAAUGGACCGGGAGUCUGAUCCAGCAAUUCUGUGUGCACGAUGAAGUUUUUCGGAAUGUAAAGUGCUUUCAGUUGGGAAGAAACAAAUGACGGUACCAACAGAAGAAGUGACGGCUAAAUACGUG
rnacentral:rRNA from 1 species